GAACCAGUAUGGUUUAAUGGUUUGAAUGUUGGACUGUGACUCUGGAGACUUGAGUUCGAUUUCCAGCUUGAUCA